AAGAUUUUAAUGAUCGAACAGAUCAAAAACUUAAACUUUUGCAUUUAAUUUUUAUCUUAAUCCAACAUCGAGGUCGCAAACUCUUUUUCUUAUAAGAACUAAAAAAAAAAAUUACG
rnacentral:rRNA from 1 species